rnacentral:lncRNA from 1 species
AGUAGAAGGAUAACAUGACAUAGCAGGAAUAAUACUGCCUUUUCUUUCUGGCAUGGAUCAAGAGAAAAGAAAAUACAAGAAAACAGACAGAAGCAAGGCAAGGUACUUCUAUGGAAGGGUGAGCCCUCACAGAUGGAGCAAUGGGGCGCGCACACCUGAACAAGGGAGGGGAAGGAGUUCUUAUCCCUGAUGCAUGUGACCCCUGCUGCUGUGUCCUUCCCCUAUUGGCUAAGGCUUCUGACAGCUUUGGAGAUUGUGACAUUGGAAUAAAGGAAAAACGUACAGGACUCAUGAAGCGCUGAAAUGUUCACAAAUAUCAAGCAAAAGUCAAUGAAAUUUAUUUUGAGCUAUUUACAUCAUUUAAUAAUUGAGCAAGGUAUACUCCUAUGAACAAAAUUUGGAGCAUGUUUGUCUCUCUCUGCCUGGCGUCUUCAGAAUUUGGAAACUAGUUAAAAUUGUUGUCUUAUUUUCAUCCUCUUUAAAAGAUGGUUUAUAAUCAGCUAUAGAAUUUUAACACGUGCUCUCAAAUGCAAGUUUCUGAUAACUUUGGAGAUUGUGACAUUGGAAUAAAGGAAGAGCUGGAAUGUUCAUGAAUAUCAAGCAAAAGUCAUGGAAAUUUAUUUUGAGCUAUUUACAGCAUUUAAUAAUUGAGCAAGGUAUACUCCUAUGAACAAAAUUUGGAGCAUGUUUGUCUCUCUCUGUCUGCCUGGCAUCUACAGAAUUUGGAAACUAGUUUCGUUCCCAGAUUUCCUAAACUUUCCAGAGAAAAUGGUCUUCUCCCUGGCUCAGCAAGAAGAUGAACUUUAAACACUGAGAAACUGGUCAUCUCC